GUGAGGGGAGUGAAAUAGAACCUGAAACCGUGUACGUACAAGCAGUGGGAGCCCUUCGGGGUGACUGCGUACCUUUUGUAUAAUGGGUCAGCGACUUACAUUUUGUAGCGAGGUUAACCGUAUAGGGGAGCCGUAGGGAAACCGAGUCUUAACUGGGCGUCUAGUUGCAAGGUGUAGACCCGAAACCGGGUGAUCUAGCCAUGGGCAGGUUGAAGGUUGAGUAACAUCAACUGGAGGACCGAACCCACUAACGUUGCAAAGUUAGGGGAUGACCUGUGGCUGGGGGUGAAAGG
rnacentral:rRNA from 1 species